rnacentral:lncRNA from 1 species
GGAGUGGCAUGAUGGACUCGUCCCUGGGAAGUUGACCAUUCGGGAACCACGGCCCUCGAAGUCAUGGUACCUCAGUCUCAGUGGGAUCUUCCUUUCCUAAAUGAGGAACGGGACUCAAAGAGGAACACCCCAAGGUCAUACAGCGAGUCUGUGGCUAGGCAUGGGCUUCACCCAGCUCCUUCCUCUGGAAAAGGCCCAAGAGGAGGACCCAGCUGCAGCUCAAGAUGUGGAUGGAGACCUCUGGGGGAGGGGAGGCAGGGGAGUCUGGCUCCAAGCUUCUUGCAUCAGCCUCAGAUGAUGAAACCCUGUGAGACGUCUUGGCUGGGAGGUCUGCUCAGACUUCCAGCAGUAGGUGACCUUCUGACUCAGAGCUCCGCUGCUGGGAAAUGCCACCAGAGCUUUCCUCUCUGUGUCUCCUGACAUCCAGGGUGUGCAGCUAGGGAACAGCAUUGCAAAAUCUAAAUAAGCCUUAGUGUAAAAUGGUGGUGGUGGAUACAGAGCUCAAGACCUCGAGUUCUAACCCCAGGCCCACCCCAGCAUCUGCGCUUGGAUCUGUGGGAGCAGGCCUCAGUCUAUCCUAUAACAGUGUCCUUUAGCAGAUGUCCAGCUCCAACCUCCAAUGUCCAGCCAGAAGCAGGGCCCAGCGCUUCCCACCCGCAAGAAGCUCAGGACCCCAAAAAAAGAUCCAUUGAGCUGCAGACUCAGGAGAUCUGAGUGCAGACGUGAACUGAGCCUCACUUCCUGUGUUUAGAAGGAGACAGACUUGGCCACAGAGGAAACCAGAGACUGUUAUAAAUAGCAAGGAAGGCAGAGAGCUGCCCAUGGAUUUCAAACAUCCAUCACUCCUAAAACAAACUCUAUUUUUGGCUUCAAAUAAUAAUUAGGAUUUAAUUAAUACUCUAUGUAACCUCAAACAUUCUCUCUCUCUCUCUCUCUCUCUCUCUCUCUCUCUCUCGCAGAGUCUUUCUGUGAAGCACAUGCUACCACUAAAACUCAUGAUCCUCCUGCCUCAGCAUCCAGAGAACUGGGAUCAUAGGCACACCCAUUGUACAUGUUUCUUUUUGUUUGAUUGUUUUGGUUUUUUGAAACAGGAUCUCUCUGUUUUGCCCUGGCUACUCUGAAAGUCUCUCUGUAUACCAGGCUGGGGUUGAACUCAAAGAUCUACCUGCCUCUGCCUCCUGAAGCCUGUGGUUAAAAGCAUGCAGCACCACCACCUGACUGUACAUGGUUCUUAAACAUGGUAACUUUACCCACCCUUCUACUCUGCUGUGCCUGCUAACAGUAUCGAUGUGGCCAUUCUCAUGGUCACCAGUCUCCAUAUCAACAUCUAGACUCAAAAAGAACCCCCCAGGUCACAUUAUUCAGCCAUCUUAUUUUUGAAUGAAGAAACUGAGGCCCCAAGAGGGAAAGAGAUUUGUCCGAAGUUGCAUAGGAUGGUAAAGCAGGGGCUGAGCUGCAAGACUGGAAGUUCGGUUGCUGUGCUGCCCCUGGCAGCAUGAUAAGACCCCAAGGCUAAACAUCUGAAAUCAGCCUGUCAUGCGUUUAUAGUCCUGACAAAACUUUGGUCUGAGUGAAAUAACGAAAGGCAGUCCAGAGGCUGAGUUGUGAUCUUCUGAGUCACGGAGGUCUGGGCUCACAUCCAGAACUCACAUCCACAUGAUGAGCUGUGUAACCCCAAGUCGGUGAUGUAACCGAGCCCAGCAUCAGCUCCCACAUCCCAAAGCGAGACGGAGCACGUCCUCAUCUCAGGACCAUCAUGGAGUUGCAAUGGGGGGAGGGAGGAUGCACAUCAAGAAUUCCACCCAGUGCUUGCCUCAAAGUAGAUUUCAGUCCUUCACAUUGUUUGCGGGUUCUCCAUCUUUUCUCCAAUAGACUCUACCUCUGUCUGGCCAGAGGGGUAGGUUUACAAAAAAAGAUGGAGAGGGACUCUCAGGAGUGAGCAAGAACAAGGUUGUGAAGAUGAGGUGUCAUUAGUGAGGGGCCGGGGUGGAAUUCAGUGGUAGAAGGCUUGCCCUGCAUGAGUGGAAUUCUAGGUUCGUCAGCUAAGCCUUUGGCGUGAGAUCUGCUGGGUGGAUCGGCAGAUCUGCAGGAACUUAGCUGCCCUCUGCUGAUGACAUGGCAGCACCUUGGGCUUUCCAGGAGGAGGCCUUAGCCUUGUGCACCCUUUCCUACACAGGUAACCAUGGCCUGCCUCCCUGGGGGCUGGGCCCCUGAAAGGGGAGAGUUCUCACUCACCCUGUAACCACGCUGGAUGUGUCACACACGUUUUCACCUAACCCUCACAAUCAUCUCUGGGGUACACCAUUAUCGUGACUGUUUUUCAAAAGAGGAAACAGGUUCAAAGGUCACUUGGCUAGGGUAGUAGUCAUUAGUGUGCUGUUCCUGUAUUUCCCGAACUCUGCCUUUCCAGCACAGGGCUCAGGACUACAUGUCCUUACUCCUCUGAUAGUGAGGGACCAUGUGACUUGAACCAAUAAAAAGUGAAGCUUUGGGAGGCACUGCCACUGUCACACCUGUACUGUUCACAGAGCAUAGAUGAGAAAUAAACUUUUCUUGUGAUCAGC